UACGGAGGGGGCAAGCGUUGUUCGGAUUUACUGGGCGUAAAGGGUGUGUAGGCGGCUGGAUAAGUCUGGCGUGAAAUCUUCACCGCUUAACGGGAAGGGGUCGCUGGAAACUGUUCAGCUUGAGUAUGGUAGAGGCAAGCGGAAUUCCUGGUGUAGCGGUGGAAUGUGUAGAUAUCAGGAGGAACACCGGUGGCGAAGGCGGGUCUCUGGGCCGAUACUGACGCUGAGGAGCGAAAGCGUGGGGAGCAAACAGG
rnacentral:rRNA from 1 species